CAUUUCUUUAAGCAGUCUUCUUAACUCGCCGGCUUUCUAAAUAGCAUCACCUUAGGAUAUGUAUAUGUUUUUGUCAUUUGGAGGGGAGCAUGGUGUAUGAUAUUUAAAUGUUUAUAACAGCGUAACAAUGGUGAAAAAGCUAUAGUUUCCCACACAAAUAAUGCACUUAGUCAAAGAAAGGGGAAUUUGAAUCUGAGUGAAAAGCAUGUUUUAGAAAGUAAACUGUACUUCCAGUUGUUUUUGGGCUACUGGUGACCAAGUGAAGUCCUGGUGGCAGUUGCUUUGCAAAUCCGAAGAAUACAAAUGACUCUGAAUGUGUUGUACUAAUAAGGAAUGUUUGCUCUUAAUCUACUUGAAAAUUUGGUGUCUAACACAUUGUCAGGAUACCAUGGGAGUUAUUAAUAAUAGCUCCACAUAUUAUAAUUAUUAGCUCUAAAGUUAAAUCCUAAAAAAUUGCCUAGUCCCAUAUGGACCUAAAAUUGUUAUUUAGUAUAUGAGGAAUUAAUUGGCUGUAAGUUAGGAACCUGUCCUCUGCCAUUAUGGAGAGGUGGGAGGAGCUUCUGGAGCCCAAGAAGCCAUGUGGAGACACUGCCUGGUGUGAGCUUAGGUCUUCAGCAAGGAUCCAGUAAGCCCAGGGGAAAGAGUGGAGGAAUAAAUAGCCCGGGCUGACUCUUGGUGCUCCCUCCCCUCUCUGUGGGAGCACCUGAUGGUCAGGGCCUCCCCAUCAGCCCACACAGACCACUCUCCUGGACACAGAGCAGGUGAGAAAGAGUGAACAGUGAACCCAGAG
rnacentral:lncRNA from 1 species